AUCCGUUUGUUCAUAUAUAUAUAUAUAUAUAUAUGCGAGGCAUGAAUACCACGAGGUGAGCAUAUAUUAGAAUAUUUAGUCAUUACCACGACAAAGGGAACGUCUCCCUUUACGGGCAAGUCUUCGAAUUCAUCAUAAGAUAUCCAUAUAUAGUGGUUAAUAUUCCUAUAAAAGUGUUGCAAGUAUAAAGGAUCUAAUGUCUGGCCAUUAAUGUCCUCGAUCCUUGAAGUACCACACCAACUUAAUUAUAAUACCAUCGAACAAAUAUUGUCUCCAGUUUUAAAUGUGAUACCUCAUACUAGCAUAUUAUAUAUGUAAUGCAUUUAGGGAUGUGCAUUUGGGCCCAUUUUUUUCCAGGAUCCGAUCUAGAACUCAGAAAUCUUGAUUAAAUCCAGGCGAGUAAGAUAACCAGUUACGAAUCUAGAACCGGUUGCAGAUCCGAUUAUAUAAUUGAAUAUCCGCAAUUCGUUACAUUUUAAAGAAACAGUUCAAUGCAUGUUGUUUUGUGCAUCAUGCCAUUAGCAUUUCAAUUUCCUUAAAGACUUCAGUGCCUGAAGAAACCCUAGGCCCCUAACUUCAUUUUACUCUCUCUCUCUCUCUCUCUCUCUCUCUCUCUAGCAUCCCUCAAUGAAACCUAUCGCCGCCAUCCCCCCUUAGAGUCUUAGACAAAGACAAAACUUUGACAUCCGGUCUCUCUUGCUCUCUUUGGUCUCCACUCCGUGUCCUGUUAUAGAAGCGGAGUAAGCACAAGGAGCUUCCAUUGACCCAAAUCUCUGCUUACAAGGAAUUGCUGUCAAAGACUAGCAUGGAUGGUGCAAAGGAUGUGAGCACCCUUCUAUCCACAUCCGUGUCCUUCAAAUUAUUGGAUGGUGCUUCAGCUAUCGACCAAACUAUGUGCAGAAGAGUCAUUGGAGCAUUGCAAUAUCUAUCACUAACCAAGCCAGACAUUAGUUUAGAGUGAAUAAGAUUUCACAAUUCAUGCAUCGGCCAACAACCACGCAUUAGACUGCAACCAAGUGCCUACUGCUCUAGCUGAAAAACACAAAUUUUCAUGGUCUUAUGCUCCACAAAAAUGUAGCUCCCACUCUUUUAACUUACUCAAAUGCAGAUUGGGUGGGUAACAUUGAUGAUCAAAGCUCUACAUCAGCAUAUAUCAUUUUUCUUCGUUCAAAUCCAAUCUCAUGGAGCUCAAAGAAACACACUUCAUUACAAGAUCUUCUACAAAAGUAGAGUAUCGUACACUUACCAAUGCUGCGUCUGAGACCAUAUGGAUCCUUCGCUGGUUCAAGAAUUACAAACUCGGUACAACACAUUUAAGCUUCAAUCCAGUUCAACAUUCACGCAUGAAGCAUAUUCAAAUUGACAUUCACUUUGUCUGUGACUUGGUACAAAAAGGAAAACUCAGUGUUCGGCAUGUGCAUACUCAGGAUCAGCUUGCUGAUCUACUCACCAAACCACUAUCACGACAAAGGACUCAAUAUCUCAGUAACAAGAUCGGUCUUGCUGAUGGUAGCCCAUUCUUGCAGGGGCGUAUCAAGGGAAAUACCGAGAAUGAUACUUUGCUCAGUAAGGAAAAAAAUAAUAGCCAAACAUGCAAAUCAAAUAAUAAUCUCAAUGCAUGAUAGCUAGAAUUUCAGUUGCUAGUAUCAUGGAACGUGUCUUUAGCAUUGUAAUUAAUUAGUUGCUAUAAAUUGUUCAUACCAUAAAUUUUAUAUAACAGCAAGCAUGUUGUGAUUGUAUGUGUGUACAAAGUUAUAAUACAACAGAGGAUUUUUCUCUUA